GCCAGGUGUGGUGGUGCACACCUGUAGUCCCAGCUACUUGGGAGGCUGAGGUGGGAGGAUGGCUUGAGCCUGGGAGUUUGAGGCUGCAGUGAGCUAUGAUUCCAUCACUGCAGCACUCCACCCUGGGUGAUAGAGCCAGACCUUGUCUCAA
rnacentral:SRP_RNA from 1 species